AUUAUUUUUAAGGGUAAGUUUACACUGGGCAUGCUGCCCAAUACAAUCAUGUUUUUAUAAACUUGAUUCCUUACUUAGGAAUUUACACCACCCAAGAGUGCAUCAUCAUAAACUGUGGCCGGGAUACCUUAGUUUAAAAAUUGCUGCAUUCUGAGGUAACUGGUUCUCCAGGGGAAGAAUCUGCUACAUUCAAAUUGUCAACGUAAAAACGAUUUUCACGGCAGAGUCUUCAGCAUCUUGUUGAAGUUGAGGAAGAGAAUGUUUUAGACAAUGAAGACCAUUUCAAGAAGCUGAAGAGCAAUUGGGAUGCAGGUUGUAAUGGAAUUUCAUUUAAUGCCCUUUGAAAAGCAAAGCUUGUCCUGCUCUCCAUGUGUAUUUGAAUCUGUCAGGAACCCCAACAGACCAGUUUUGUACUCUGUGUGGAUGCCUGCCUGUGGGUCUGUGUUAUUUCCAGUUUGAGUCCAAGCUCCUGUCAUCAUUAAGAUCGUCACAUGCCGUGUGAGUUGGUGGAGUGGUCCAUCUGAAGUCUCCCUGACUUCCAUGAGGGGCUGAGGAACCCCUUGGAGAGAACUCCUCCUAAAGGAAGAGGGCACCAGACAGAAUAAGUUUGUGCAGAGGAGAGACGUCAUCUUGAGUAGAGUUUGGUGGCUGCCCCUCAGCUUGGUGUCUCAGCCCAGGAUCCCCAUAUAUUCGUGUCUGAGUCCUAUGGGGCAAUAACUAGAGAGCUUUUCAUUAAAGAACACUCACUCAGUUAAACAAAACAAAACCUCUGUGGGACAGUGAGAGAAUAUAAGCCACAUUAUUUGUAUCAGUUUCCUGAGGCUGCGAUAAAAAAUGACCACAGACCGGUGGCUUAACGCCAAAAAAAUUUAUUGUCUCCCAGUUCUAGAGGCCAGGACUCUGAAAUCAAGAUGUCAGCAGGACCACACUCCCUCCAGAGGCCCUAGGGCCUUGCCUCUUCCAUCUUCUAACGGCUACCCCAGCAAUUCUGGGCUUGUGGUCACAUCGUUGCAAACCUCUCCAUCUUCACCUUGCUUUCUCAUCUGUAUGUCUGUGUCUCCGUUGUGUGUCUAUCUUAUAAGGAUACAUAUGACUGCACUUAGGGCCUACCAGGUAGUGAAGGAUAAGCACCUCCGCUCAAAAUCCCUGAGCCACAUCUGCAAAGACCUUUUUUCCCGAUAAGGUAACACUCACAGAUGCCAGGAAUUAGAUGGAGAUAUCUUUUGGGGGGCAUUUUUUGGCCUACCACAUGACGCUUACACACUAAUAACAGAUUAAAAUCCACAAGGGGGGACAAAGUGCUCACACCCUAUUUUGCCCUGCACUUCAGGGUGACAGUGCAGGACACUGGCAGCAGAGUCCAGGGACAUAACAUGAGGCUCCGGGAGAAACUCCCUGCGGGCAUCCAGAAUUAUUUAAGAUGAGCAUGGAGGACUUUGCAGGGAGUGGGGUCCUGCAUCAGCAGGAGGGGGCAGGAUCACCCUAUGACCUUACUGUCUGAACAGCUUGGUAGGUGACAAACCAGUACACAAAGCCUGUGGCUGGCUUGGAGGAGGUACGAAGAGAUGUGCUGCCUUCUCUAGCUGUAGCUGUUAAUCCGACAGGUCAAUCCAUCUGAGGGACCCAAGCCCCGCCUCUCGUGUUGCGGUGUGCCCUGCCUCAGGGCGAACAGCCAGCUUAGUACUUGUCAAGGCUUCACUGCCCAGCCCCAGGCAACUUGAUCCCUCAAGCUGGUUCUGGGUCUGGACGGUGUGUUCCAGGCCCAGCCUAAGGGCCUGUUUCAAAGGUCACCCCUGUGGUAUCUCAAACCAGCUUGGGCUCUGCGACAUGUAGGAUGGAAAUGGCCCAAGGCCCAGCAUGUACACCAGACAGAGGCAGUUCAGGGGGUAUGCAUAGGAAGUACAAGUACAAAUUGCGUUGUCUUCUUCCCUGCUGGCCUGCCUGACUACUCUGCUACUUGACAGAAUCCAGUGCACCUCCUCCAGACACUCACCAAGCAGCUGGGGAGUGUCCUGCCACCUCGGCCAUCCUAGUCCAUCCUGUCAAUGUGAAACACCUGCUCAGGCUGUCAUGCAGCAGGACCAGCGCGCAGAGCGAGGUCUGGCCUAUCUGGAGCCGUGGGUUUGGCACUGAAGUUGGAGAGACCCUUACAACGGAAAGGCUGGGGUGGGGACUCAGGGGCUAACGGCCAGGGUUUGCCUUUCGGUGAUAAGAUAGGGAGGGAGGUGGGCUUAUUGCAAACAAUUGGGUUUUAUUUGCUGGGAGCCUGCUCAGCUCUUCACUGAGGAGGAUGAACCUAAUGUUUUCUGGUUUUUUUAAAAAAAAUAUGGUUGUUUGUUUUGGGCUCCAGCUUCCUGCAGUAUCAGUUUCUGUCAGACCAGUUUGUUAAAAAAGCACUUUGAGUAAAUACCAGAGGCCAGGAUGAAAGUAAAAUAGAGAGACUUGAAAAAA